rnacentral:lncRNA from 1 species
AGCCAACGCCUGUGCAUCCAUUACCCAGCAGAAGUGCCGUCCAUUACCCAGCUGAUGUGCUGUCCAUUACCCAGUGGAAGUGCCGUCCAUUACCCAGCAGAAGUAGAACGUCGCCAACGCUUUUGAAGUCUCUGUGCCUCCUUCUGAAUUGCAUUCCCCCUGACCCCACAUAGAAGAUUGCAAAGAAAGAAGAAAGCAGCAGCAGCAGCAGUGGCAACAGAGAUGCAUGUGGCCUGCAAAGCCGAAAAUAUUUAUCAUCUGGCUAUUCACAAAAAAUUGCUAACCACCCCCCGCAACCCGCUAUGACUGUUUUCUAACUUAGUUUCUAUUUUUGUUGUCAUUGAAAUGUUUCAUUUCAAUGUAGUAUAAUGUAUCAUUUUAAAGAUUAUAAUAUUAUAGAUUAUAUGACUCUGCUUCUAGCUCUCUGAUUUCAUUGUUCUAUUCAUAUAUCAAAAUGCCAAUACCACUUUUAAAUUUACUAGUGUUCCAAAAUAAGUCUGAUAUCUGGUAGGGCAAAUCUGUCCCCUUCCAACCCAUUUUCUCUCUUAAACAGUUCUGAUCCAACAACCUCCCCACUUGGUCACAAUGACCAAAGUUGAUUCAAUGCAUGCAUUAAUUUUAUAUUUAUACCUUUCAACUGCCAGUAUAUAAAAUUCAAAGUUGUUUCCGCCCCUACCCCCCGCCAGCUG